ACUGAGAAGUUUAAUAAGGAACAGUCGGUGAGGGGCAGAGCCCCAGGCAGAACCAAGUGCAUGAAUCCGAGACCAGGGUCCUACCCAUUUCCUGGUGACAUAAAGGAUAAAUAAAAAACUUUUCUCCCAGUCCAAGUCACUGCACUGAAGCUACUUGGAGCUCUGUCAGGAGAGUCAAGGUUGCCUUAAAAAAAAAAAAAAAAACUAUUUUGCUGCACCGGGUCUUAGUUGCAGCAUGUGGGACCUAGUUCCCUGACCAGGGAUUGAACCUGGGUCCCCUGCAUUGGCAACACAGAGUCCCGGCCAGUGGACCACCGUGGAAGUCCCUCAAGGUUGCCUUUGUGCAAAGUCUGUGUCAGGACAGUUUCAAGUCUCUUUCUCAGUAAGUAACAUAAGCACUUCCCCAGAUAGUGAACCCUGGUUAAAAUGGCAGAAGCCAUCCUGAAUUGUAAUACUAAAAUCAAGACCAAAAAAUGCUCAGGCACAUUUCAUCUCCUAUAUCCGUUUGCAUUUUAUAAAGGCAUUUUAAAAGCAUCUGUUGACUUCUGAUUCUCUGAGGCUUUCCAGCGUGCAGGGCACUCUCUCCUGCGCUGUUCAUUUCCUGCCAUUCAGCAAACCUGUGUUUAGCUCAGGCCGCAACAGGUGUGGAUGAGAUCCUGGUCACGUGUUCAGGGAGGCAAAUGAGUAUGAACUCCGCCACACGUGAUAAGGCUUGACCUAGGCAGGGGCCCUUCGAGGGCUGGGGGUGGCAGAGCAGGGCCAUGGAUGUGAGGGGCAGUCUGGUGCUCAGGACCUCUGAGCUGCCUCGUGAGUAACUGAUGAGAUUUCACCAGACGGCCCCCACACCUGAUGUGAGCAGAGGUGCAGAAGCCUGAAGCUAGGUGGCAGCGUGGCACAGAAGCCAAGGACACAGGCUCUGCCCUGUGCCACAGAGCCUGUGGGAACCCUAGUUCCCCAACCAGGGAUGGAACCCAUGCCCCCUGCACUGGAAGCGCAGAGUCGUAGCCACUGGACCACCAGGAUAGUCCCUUGCAUCACUUUUGAGGGCAGUAAUAGCAACAGUCAGCCCCCUCCUUGGUGGGUCUAUAGAGACUGCGCCCUAAGCCAGGGCUUGAUUUUUACUAUUUCAUGUACGCCUCAUGAGCACUCAGUUCUGCAGAUUAAAACAGCCUAGCAGAAAGGAUCAAAUUUAGAAGCCUGAGGCCACCAACCUUCCUCUCGCCAGAGUGGACGUGCACAGAGGUUCCAUGUGACUGCCUUGUCUUGUCACUGAAGAUGACCCCCAGGGAAGCCUUGCUUUCUAGAAGCAUCUGAAUUAGGGUCCUGCCAUGGUGAGAAGGGGCAGUAGGGACAGAGGCAUCCCUGGGCCUUAGAAUGAGCCGGCAACACCUCCAGGGGCCUCCUUUACUGGCUCCCUGACUUCUGCUGAGCCAGGCCAGCCAAGGGCACAAUGACGACAGCCCACACCUGCCAGUGCCCAGGCUGCCUCUUUCUAGGCCCCGUCUUUCAAUGGCAAAUAUUUACUGAGCACCUAUUGUGCGCCAACAACAUGCCCCAAAUACCAACCCCCAAGCCCCACAUGGCUUUGCGCCUGCAC
ensembl:lncRNA